rnacentral:rRNA from 1 species
ACGGGUGCGUAACGCGUGGGAAUCUGCCCUUGGGUUCGGAAUAACAGUUAGAAAUGACUGCUAAUACCGGAUGAUGUCUUCGGACCAAAGAUUUAUCGCCCAAGGAUGAGCCCGCGUAAGAUUAGCUAGUUGGUGGGGUAAUGGCCCACCAAGGCGACGAUCUUUAGCUGGUCUGAGAGGAUGAUCAGCCACACUGGGACUGAGACACGGCCCAGACUCCUACGGGAGGCAGCAGUGGGGAAUAUUGGACAAUGGGCGAAAGCCUGAUCCAGCAAUGCCGCGUGAGUGAUGAAGGCCUUAGGGUUGUAAAGCUCUUUUACCAGGGAUGAUAAUGACAGUACCUGGAGAAUAAGCUCCGGCUAACUCCGUGCCAGCAGCCGCGGUAAUACGGAGGGAGCUAGCGUUGUUCGGAAUUACUGGGCGUAAAGCGUACGUAGGCGGUUAUUCAAGUCAGAGGUGAAAGCCCGGGGCUCAACCCCGGAACUGCCUUUGAAACUAGAUAGCUAGAGUCUUGGAGAGGUUAGUGGAAUUCCGAGUGUGGAGGUGAAAUUCGUAGA